UCUCGCCAUAACCAUGGCCAUUUUCAUCCGCACCAUAACCAGGAGAAUAUGACCUGCGAAUGUGAUCACCAUCUUGCUCUGGUGGAGGACCACCAGGAGACCUAAGAUGGUCUGCAUGCCUUCUACCUGGGGAAGCAGAGUAGUCCCGCCGCCUUGAGGCAGGAGAAUACGACCUUGAACGAUAUCGAGACCGAGAACUCAUAUGAUGACGAGGGGAGCGUGAUCGGGAUGGUGAUCGAGACCGAGAAUGUCCAUAAUAAGAUGAUCGUCCUCCAUAGCCUGAUGGUCCUCUAACCCUAGCUCUUUGCCGCAUUUCCUCAGGCCUUUUCCUUGUCUCUGCUGCAACCACAACAGAUAUUUCCCUCCCAGCAAAAAUUUGUCCAUUCAUGCGACGCUGAGCUUCCAUGGCAUCAUAUGAAUCCAAAAACUGCACAAAUGCAAACCCACGAGGUUCCCCUGUGUAAUAGUCCUUUGGAAUAUACACGUCCCUUACAACACCAAAUCUCUCAAAUGGAACUCUAAGUUCUUCUGGUCUGCAAUCAAGAGGGAUGUUUCGAACCAGUAGGCUUCCAUGAUUCUGCUCCUUGCGUCUCCCAUACCCCCCACCACCUCCAUAUCCUCUCCUUGGUGGGCUUCUGACUCGGCCUCCAUAUCCUCUCCUUGGAGGACUAUAAUAUGGUGGACUGUACCUCCUCAUAAUAUUGCCUGUGAAGAAACCAGAGAGAGAAAAUUAUGAGCUAAGAGAAGCGAAGCUUUCACUUGGACCUGAAGCCUGCAUAUAGCAC
rnacentral:misc_RNA from 1 species